AACGAACGCUGGCGGCGUGCUUAACACAUGCAAGUCGAACGGUAAGGCCCUUCGGGGUACACGAGUGGCGAACGGGUGAGUAACACGUGGGUGAUCUGCCCUGCACUUCGGGAUAAGCCUGGGAAACUGGGUCUAAUACCGGAUAGGACCACUGCCUGCAUGGGUGGUGGUGGAAAGCUUUUGCGGUGUGGGAUGGGCCCGCGGCCUAUCAGCUUGUUGGUGGGGUGAUGGCCUACCAAGGCGACGACGGGUAGCCGGCCUGAGAGGGCGACCGGCCACGCUGGGACUGAGAUACGGCCCAGACUCCUACGGGAGGCAGCAGUGGGGAAUAUUGCACAAUGGGCGCAAGCCUGAUGCAGCGACGCCGCGUGAGGGAUGACGGCCUUCGGGUUGUAAACCUCUUCCAGCACCGACGAAGCGCAAGUGACGGUAGGUGCAGAAGAAGGACCGGCCAACUACGUGCCAGCCGCCGCAGUAACAC
rnacentral:rRNA from 1 species